UACGGGGGGGGCAAGCGUUGUUCGGAAUUACUGGGCGUAAAGGGCUCGUAGGUGGCCAACUAAGUCAGACGUGAAAUCCCUCGGCUUAACCGGGGAACUGCGUCUGAUACUGGAUGGCUUGAGUUCGGGAGAGGGAUGCGGAAUUCCAGGUGUAGCGGUGAAAUGCGUAGAUAUCUGGAGGAACACCGGUGGCGAAGGCGGCAUCCUGGACCGAUACUGACACUGAGGCGCGAAAGCGUGGGGAGCAAACAGGG
rnacentral:rRNA from 1 species